ensembl:lncRNA
CCUUACAGCAUGGGAGACUUGACUGAAUUCUUGAAACAAAGAGAAGUCUCUGAGGAAAUUAUACAGACCUUGGAGAAUGAGAAGGUACUUAAUUCCAACAAGAUACUGGUUGAAAUGCAACUUUUCCUCAUUGUUCUUAAGUUAAAAAUAGGAUUGUAUUUUCAAGGCUGGUUGUUUUAAUAAAUUAAAUUAUUUUUCCAUCUUUAGAUUGAUGCCAGUGUCAUAAGUCUAAUGACAGAUGAGGAGCUGAAGACUUAUUUGCCAUCAUACGGUGAUCGUCUAGCAGUACAGGGAGUGCAGAAUUAUUAGGCAAAUGAGUAUUUUGUUCACAUCAUCCUUUUCAUGCAUGUUGUCUUACUCCAAGCUGUAUAGGCUCGAAAGCCUACUACCAAUUAAGCAUAUUAGGUGAUGUGCAACUCUGUAAUGAGAAGGGGUGUGGUCUAAUGACAUCAACACCCUAUAUCAGGUGUGCAUAUUUAUUAGGCAACUUCCUUUCCUUUGGCAAAAUGGGUCAAAAGAAGGACUUGACAGACACAGGAAAGUCAAAAACCCUCUAGCAGAUCAUUACAUGAAGGAACCUUUAAAAAAAAAAAAAAAAAAACAAGCGCCGCGUCCAUGCUCACAGGUGUACACACAGGUGAUCACACCCACAAACUACACCCUUUUUGGCUCCUACCUCAAAGCACACUGUGUUCUGUUGAUCUUAUGUGCUGCACAAUAAUGUUUAAUAUUUAGUAUUUACUGUCAUAUUCCCAUAUAUCAUUGUGAUGUUGUUUAUUCUAUUACUCUUGUUCUCUUCUGCUUGUUUUCUUUUUUCUUUCUCAGCAGGUGAUCCAGGUGAUCGAUAUAUGCAUUUUUUUUCUGCUCAUUCUGUUGGUUUUUGUUUUUUGCCCUUCUCCCCUGUCCCUCUUCUCAGCUGUUUCUCUUUCCCUCUUUCUUUCUCCCCUUCUUUCCCCCAGUCAAGUCUGUCCCGUAUUCAGUAAGUGAAAAUAAAACAAUAAAAGGGGAAUCAAAUGGACCAUUACGGCAAGGCUGGGAUGGUCAAUUUGGUAAAGUAAAUCCGUUGGGCAUCUUUCUUUGCCUUUAGACAACAAUUCUGAUGGCAAAAGAGCCAAACGGGACAGGUAAGAG